AUCAGCAGCCAUAUCACCCUGCAACUCACAACUGGCAACCCACUGAAGCUAAGCAGGCAUGAGUCUGGUCAGAACCUGAAUGGGAGACCUCCUGGGGAAGCUAAGGUUGCUGAUG
rnacentral:rRNA from 1 species